UGGAAAUGAUGACUAAUGAUGAUCUGAAUACGUAUGUAGAAAUCUAUUAAGAUAGUCAAGUUCUGAUCCAG